rnacentral:rRNA from 1 species
GAAUAUUGGACAAUGGGCGAAAGCCUGAUCCAGCCACGCCGCGUGAGUGAUGAAGGCCUUCGGGUCGUAAAGCUCUGUGGGGAGGGACGAACCGCUGUUGGUUCAUAGCCAACAGCAUGACGGUACCUCCUUAGCAAGCACCGGCUAACUUCGUGCCAGCAGCCGCGGUAAUACGAAGGGUGCAAACGUUGCUCGGAAUUAUUGGGCGUAAAGCGCACGUAGGCGGCAUUGCAAGUCGGAUGUGAAAUCCCUCGGCUUAACCAAGGAAGUGCAUCCGAAACUGCAGUGCUUGAGUACUUAAGAGGAUCGCGGAAUUCCCGGUGUAGAGGUGAAAUUCGUAGAUAUCGGGAGGAACACCAGUGGCGAAGGCGGCGAUCUGGGAAGAUACUGACGCUGAGGUGCGAAAGCGUGGGGAGCAAACAGG